rnacentral:lncRNA from 1 species
GAGGGUAUCUUGCUGGAGAGACCUGUGUUCCUGAGGCCUUCUAAAGCUGAUGAAAGUAGGAUGAUGGGUUUUGUUGUAUGUUAAGCAAUCUUAAAUGACUGCUUGGAAGCCAUCUGGUAUUACCUGCUGACAGUUUUAAUACCUGUAGGAAAGGAGAACUGUGUCUCAAGCUGACUUUUCCCUUCAUUCAGUCUGUGGAAUGUGCUCAGGAGGAAAAGAAUCAACCAAAUGAAUGGAAAAAGAGAAAUCGGAGAGCCUAUACAGAUAUAUAGGAGGAAAGCUCUGUACAGAUGCACAAAAUUGCUGCAAUUGCUCUGUCUCCCU